rnacentral:rRNA from 1 species
ACCCGUAAUCCGGGUUGCGGACAGUGUCUGGUGGGUAGUUUGACUGGGGCGGUCUCCUCCUAAAGAGUAACGGAGGAGCACGAAGGUUGGCUAAUCCUGGUCGGACAUCAGGAGGUUAGUGCAAUGGCAUAAGCCAGCUUGACUGCGAGCGUGACGGCGCGAGCAGGUGCGAAAGCAGGUCAUAGUGAUCCGGUGGUUCUGAAUGGAAGGGCCAUCGCUCAACGGAUAAAAGGUACUCCGGGGAUAACAGGCUGAUACCGCCCAAGAGUUCAUAUCGACGGCGGUGUUUGGCACCUCGAUGUCGGCUCAUCACAUCCUGGGGCUGAAGUAGGUCCCAAGGGUAUGGCUGUUCGCCAUUUAAAGUGGUACGCGAGCUGGGUUUAGAACGUCGUGAGACAGUUCGGUCCCUAUCUGCCGUGGGCGCUGGAGAACUGAGGGGGGCUGCUCCUAGUACGAGAGGACCGGAGUGGACGUAUCACUGGUGUUCGGGUUGUCAUGCCAAUGGCACUGUCCGGUAGCUAAAUGCGGAAGAGAUAAGUGCUGAAAGCAUCUAAGCACGAAACUUGCCCCGAGAUGAGUUCUCCCUGAGACUUUAGGUCUCCUGAAGGAACGUUGAAGACGACGACGUUGAUAGGCCGGGUGUGUAAGCGCAGCGAUGCGUUGAGCUAACCGGUACUAAUGAACCGUGAGGCUUAACCUUACAACGCCGAAG